GUGCUCGUUUCAGCAACACAUACACUAAAUUGGAAUGAUCCGGAGAAGAUUUAGCAUGGCCCUUGCAUGAGGAUGACACGCAGAUUCCCGAGAUGUACUCCGAGGCA
ensembl:snRNA U6 U6 spliceosomal RNA